rnacentral:ncRNA from 1 species
ACAUUCCGACAGGGGAGCGCCUGCGACGGCGCUGAGAGUGCGGCGAGUGACCCGUUCGGGGUCUCAGGCCGCAGACCCUCCCACCUGAUCCGGGUCAUACCGGCGUAGGGAGUCACCGCAGAUGAGAA